UACGGAGGGUGCGAGCGUUGUCCGGAAUCACUGGGCGUAAAGGGCUCGUAGGCGGCCAACUAAGUCAGACGUGAAAUCCCUCAGCUUAACUGGGGAACUGCGUCUGAUACUGGAUGGCUUGGAUCCGGGAGAGGAACGCGGAAUUCCAGGUGUAGCGGUGAAAUGCGUAGAUAUCUGGAGGAACACCGGUGGCGAAGGCGGCGUUCUGGACUGUUACUGACACUGAGGAACGAAAGCCAGGGGAGCAAACGGG
rnacentral:rRNA from 1 species